AAUUCGCCCUUAGAGUUUGAUCCUGGCUCAGAACGAACGCUGGCGGCAGGCUUAACACAUGCAAGUCGAGCGCCCCGCAAGGGGAGCGGCAGACGGGUGAGUAACGCGUGGGAAUCUACCCAUCUCUACGGAACAACUCCGGGAAACUGGAGCUAAUACCGUAUACGUCCUUAUGGAGAAAGAUUUAUCGGAGAUGGAUGAGCCCGCGUUGGAUUAGCUAGUUGGUGGGGUAAUGGCCUACCAAGGCGACGAUCCAUAGCUGGUCUGAGAGGAUGAUCAGCCACACUGGGACUGAGACACGGCCCAGACUCCUACGGGAGGCAGCAGUGGGGAAUAUUGGACAAUGGGCGCAAGCCUGAUCCAGCCAUGCCGCGUGAGUGAUGAAGGCUCUAGGGUUGUAAAGCUCUUUCAACGGUGAAGAUAAUGACGGUAAC
rnacentral:rRNA from 1 species